rnacentral:rRNA from 2 species
GUAAGUCGAGCGAACUUUUGGGAGCUUGCUCCCAAAAGUUAGCGGCGGACGGGUGAGUAACACGUGGGCAACCUGCCUAUAAGACUGGGAUAACUUCGGGAAACCGGAGCUAAUACCGGAUAACAUAUGAGACCACAUGGUCUCAUAUUAAAAGAUGGCUUUUAGCUAUCACUUAUAGAUGGGCCCGCGGCGCAUUAGCUAGUUGGUGAGGUAAUGGCUCACCAAGGCGACGAUGCGUAGCCGACCUGAGAGGGUGAUCGGCCACACUGGGACUGAGACACGGCCCAGACUCCUACGGGAGGCAGCAGUAGGGAAUCUUCCGCAAUGGACGAAAGUCUGACGGAGCAACGCCGCGUGAGCGAAGAAGGUCUUCGGAUCGUAAAGCUCUGUUGUUAGGGAAGAACAAGUACCGUUCAAAUAGGGCGGUACCUUGACGGUACCUAACCAGAAAGCCACGGCUAACUACGUGCCAGCAGCCGCGGUAAUACGUAGGUGGCAAGCGUUAUCCGGAAUUAUUGGGCGUAAAGCGCGCGCAGGCGGUCCUUUAAGUCUGAUGUGAAAGCCCACGGCUCAACCGUGGAGGGUCAUUGGAAACUGGGGGACUUGAGUGCAGAAGAGGAGAGCGGAAUUCCACGUGUAGCGGUGAAAUGCGUAGAGAUGUGGAGGAACACCAGUGGCGAAGGCGGCUCUCUGGUCUGUAACUGACGCUGAGGCGCGAAAGCGUGGGGAGCGAACAGGAUUAGAUACCCUGGUAGUCCACGCCGUAAA